UGGGGAAUAUUGCACAAUGGAGGGAACUCUGAUGCAGCGACGCCGCGUGAACGAAGAAGGCUUUCGAGUCGUAAAGUUCUUUUAUAUGGGAAGAUAAUGACGGUACCAUAAGAAAAAGCCCCGGCUAACUACGUGCCAGCGGCCGCGGUAAUACGUAGGGGGCUAGCGUUGUCCGGAAUCACUGGGCGUAAAGGGUUCGCAGGCGGAAAUGCAAGUCAGGUGUAAAAGGCAGUAGCUUAACUACUGUAAGCAUUUGAAACUGCAUAUCUUGAGAAGAGUAGAGGUAAGUGGAAUUUUUAGUGUAGCGGUGAAAUGCGUAGAUAUUAAAAAGAAUACCGGUGGCGAAGGCGACUUACUGGGCUCAUUCUGACGCUGAGGAACGAAAGCGUGGGUAGCAAACAGG
rnacentral:rRNA from 2 species